rnacentral:rRNA from 1 species
UUGUUGGUAAGGUAAAAGCUUACCAAGGCUUCGAUCAGUAGCUGGUCUGAGAGGACGACCAGCCACACUGGGACUGAGACACGGCCCAGACUCCUACGGGAGGCAGCAGUGGGGAAUUUUGGACAACGGGGGCAACCCUGAUCCAGCCAUGCCGCGUGAGUGAAGAAGGCCUUCGGGUUGUAAAGCUCUUUCAGCCGGAACGAAACGGUUACGGAUAACACCCGUGACUACUGACGGUACCGGAAGAAGAAGCACCGGCUAACUACGUGCCAGCAGCCGCGGUAAUACGUAGGGUGCGAGCGUUAAUCGGAAUUACUGGGCGUAAAGCGUGCGCAGGUGGUUUUGUAAGUCAGAUGUGAAAGCCCCGGGCUCAACCUGGGAACUGCGUUUGAAACUACAAGACUAGAGUGUGGCAGAGGGGGGUGGAAUUCCGCGUGUAGCAGUGAAAUGCGUAGAGAUGUGGAGGAACACCGAUGGCGAAGGCAGCCCCCUGGGUCAACACUGACGCUCAGGCACGAAAGCAUGGGGAGCAAACAGGAUUAGAUACCCUGGUAGUCCAUGCCCUAAACGAUGUCAACUAGUUGUCGGGCCUUUACGGGCUUGGUAACGUAGCUAACGCGUGAAGUUGACCGCCUGGGGAGUACGAUCGCAAGAUUAAAACUCAAAUGAAUUGACGGGGACCCGCACAAGCGGUGGAUUAUGUGGAUUAAUUCGAUGCAACGCGAAAAACCUUACCUACCCUUGACAUGUAUCGAAGCCCGCAGAAAAGCGGGGGUGCCCGAAAGGGAACGAUAACACAGGUGCUGCAUGGCUGUCGUCAGCUCGUGUCGUGAGAUGUUGGGUUAAGUCCCGCAACGAGCGCAACCCUUGUCAUUAAUUGCCAUCAUUUAGUUGGGCACUUUAAUGAGACUGCCGG